rnacentral:rRNA from 1 species
UACGUAGGGGGCAAGCGUUGUCCGGAAUCAUUGGGCGUAAAGCGCGUGUAGGCGGCCCUUUAAGUCCGAUGUGAAAGCCCGGGGCUCACCCCCGGAAGUGCAUUGGAUACUGAAGGGCUGGAGUACCGGAGAGGAGGGUGGAAUUCCUGGUGUAGCGGUGAAAUGCGUAGAUAUCAGGAGGAACACCUGUGGCGAAGGCGGCCCUCUGGACGGAUACUGACGCUGAGGUGCGAAAGCGUGGGGAGCAAACAGG